rnacentral:rRNA from 1 species
ACGAAGGGGGCUAGCGUUGCUCGGAAUUACUGGGCGUAAAGGGAGCGUAGGCGGGUUGACAAGUUGGAGGUGAAAGCCCAGGGCUCAACCCUGGAAUUGCCUUCAAAACUGUCAGCCUUGAGUAUGGAAGAGGUAAGUGGAACUCCGAGUGUAGAGGUGAAAUUCGUAGAUAUUCGGAAGAACACCAGUGGCGAAGGCGACUUACUGGUCCAUGACUGACGCUGAGGCUCGAAAGCGUGGGGAGCAAACAG